AGCUCCAACAGCGUAUAUUAAAGUUGCUGCAGUUAAAACGCUCGUAGUUGUUGUCCGACUAUAUGCUUCCCUCCAUCAGGAGUGGUGGCAACGUAGUUUAGCGGAUUUUUCAAUCUGCCAAAACCUUGAGGAAAGAUUAGUGUUCCAAACAAUAGUCGUUUGUCCUCUCCAGCAUGGUAUAUAACCUGAGCGGUGUUGAUGCCUGCCACAUCAUCAUCAUACAAAAUAGAAAUUCAAGGGGGUGUACGUACUUCAAUGUCAGAGGUGAAAUUCCUGGAUUAUUGAAAGACGGUCAAUUGCGAAAGCAUUCAUCAAGCGACUUUUCU
rnacentral:rRNA from 1 species